UUUCAUACCUUUUUUUCAGGGAAUGCGUUAUAUAGCCAGUGUUUGGUGUCAAGAAGUAGAGAAUGUGUUUGGAGAACACUUCUAUGACUUUUAAUUAAAGUAUCUUUAGGCUCAGGUAUGAAAUAUUUGCAGGGCAUGUAUAUAUAUAUAUACACCCACAGAGUGUAACAUGUAACUAUUAUAAUUGUAGAUAUAAGUAUUGUAACUUGUAGCAAUCAUGUAAAAAGAUGAGCCAAACUUCACAGAUUUCUUUCUUGUUUGAUACAAAUGUACAUGUAACUAAAUCAACACUCCACUGUUUCUGGAAUAUCAUUUUAAUCAGUAUAAUGGUAUUAUAUAUUAUUUAUAUAUUAUAUAUAUUUAUUAUUUAUUAUAUAUUAUUAAUCAGUAUAAUGACAUUAUUAUUAUUUUAUACUGUUGUAUUUUAUUUUAUGGUGUUGGGCUUGGCCCCACGUGAGCUGCCCUAAGUCCCUUCGGGGAGAUGGGGCGGGAAAUAAUAAUAAUAAUAAUAAUAAUCUAUUUUUAUUGACUCUUCAUUUUGGUUGCCUUUUUUAAAAAGUAACAAAAAUUUUGAAGCAUUGCAAUAACAGCCUGUUUUAUAUCUACUGUAAAUUGCAUUGAAGCCUUCUCUGCCACUGGGUAUUCCAUACUUGCACAAGUGAGUCAUGUUUGACAAAUGUCUUCAUAUGAGAUGUUUGAGAAAGUAUUGACUUGUAGCCAAAGGAGGAAUUAGUUUGAAAACCAUGGUCUGGCUGAAGGCACUAGUGUGGGAUUAGGAAGAAAAAAAAAUAAAGAUAACAUGUAUUUCGGUGCCUUUGAAAGGUUAUGAGGAGAGGAUAUGUAAACUUCAUUGGUAACAUGCUUGGCUAGAUGAAGAUGUGGAAUCAUUUCAGUUUAUAUGUUAGGAAAUUUAUAUCUAUAGUUAUGUUACCGCUGCCUUGGUCUGGUUAUAAUACACAUGGUAUGCAAAUAGAAGUUUCUUUAUUUUUUCACACUUGACAUGCUUCUGGGUCUCAUUUUGUUUUAGAAACACUAUUUCUCAAGAUCCUGAUAGUGCAGUAUUCCAUACUUUCACUAGCAGCAUUAGAAGAGUAUUGCUUUAUCCAUUCAUAUUUUGCUCUGUCCUAAAUGAUACUCUUUAGGGAGUAAGUCAACCUUUGCUUCCUAUGAUAGAUUAAGUACUAAAAUAAUAAUGUUUUAUUAUUAUUGUUAUUUUAUUGUAUGACACAGCAAACAAGAUCUAUACGCUGGAUUUCGUAUCACAAAAUCACAAGUCGAACACUUCCCAAGUGUCUAGGACUGUGUGAUGUAAUAUUAUUAUUAUUAUUAUUAUUAUUAUUAUUAUUAUUAUUAUUAUUAUUAUUCUUACCUGCCUCCUUGUGGCUAAAGGUGGGUCACAACACAGUCAAAGCACACAAACAGUGCAAGAAUUCUAUAAACACAAUAUUAAAAUGUAUUUCUAUAAAAUAUGUAUUAAAUACAAUGUAUAUUAGCAUGUAAUAUACACACAAGGAAGUUGGGCUUUUCACUAAGCAUAGCUGAAAUAGAGAUGAUCAUAAUUCUUACUUUCUGAACUUCUGUUAAUAUAAAAGCACAAGGGAUUUUAACUAUCAUCCCUAAAUGAGCUAGUGCAUUUGCCCUUUUUGCAACCUUUCAAAAUUUAAGUGGUCAACAAAUGUGAUUGUUUUAGAAGAUUUUAUUAGUACUGCAUUGCUGAGAGAUGAAAGUGCAUUCAUCAUACUUGCCUUUAUGAAAAUGGCAGUCCCUAGAAUGUCUUCUGAUAAGUAAGACAGAAUACUCCUGUAUGAAGGAGAAUUCUAUGUGUCGAGAUGAAGAAAUAUGUUUCCUUUAGCUUCCUCAUUUGUCUAAUCCUUUUAUACCAUCUGGUAUUUUCGCAAAUGAUCUCCACAAAUCCUCCUGAUUACCCUUGCAGAAUAAAUUCUGAUAGAAGGUUGUAGUAUUGAUCCUACCAUAAUGUAUGGUAAAUGUCACUUAUUACUCUCCAUAUUUUAAAAGCUUGUGCUUUUCAUAGUCCAGGUGCAUGAGGUACAGGUAUAGCCCAUGUAUAGCCAACCUGAUGUAUUCAACAAUAAGAAAUACAGUUGUCUCCAACUUAUAUUCCAAUUGUGAAUCUGUAUCCAGGUUUUGGUUUGUGAAGUGGAACCUAGUCUCCUAUUAGAAUUAAACAUUCUUGAACAAAUCACUUUCCUGCUUGGCCUGAAAAAAUGUAAAAAAUAUCACUUCAAUAGUCAUAUGCUGAUUGUGGCAAUGCAUUUUAAUGGACUGUGUGUAAACAAAUACACAUCUGCACUACACUUUCAAACAGAGUGGCAGUGAAAUCUUAGAAGUCCUCAUGUAUUCAUGUAAAUACUGAUAUCAGCGGGUAGGGCCUGAAAAAUCUCCCCUUUCUAUGGUUCUACUUCCUUUAAAGGCAAUAGUUUAAUAAUUCAAUGAAAAAAUUCCAAGGUUAUGACACGACUGUUCCUUUGACGGUGCUGCCAGGAUCGUAUCGCAACGGAAACUGCUAAAGGGAAUGGCAUCCAUAACUUUUUUAUUUUGAAUGUCAUCCAUAACUAUAUCACCAUUUUUCCAAGACCUUUUAUCCUAGCCCGAGGCCAUGAGAUAUAAAACAAGGCCAAUUCCAAAAAAUAUUCCCUCUUAUAUCAUUUUAAUCAUGUUCCUGCUUCAUUAGCUGUCCUUUAUUCUUUACUUUUAAGUGUCUUGUUCUGCUCAGUCUUUUUUCUAUUCAGUUAAAUUUCUGGAAACAGUAAUAACUGUUGCCCUUUCAGAAAUGUGCCAGUUUAGAAAUAUUGGAACUAUACUGUUGCCUUUGUUUUUGCUUAAAAUAAGCAGAAAAGAGGGGUCUCCUUAUGAAAACAUGAGCAAAAGAAAGGUGUAUUUCACUUAACAAAGUAAAUACGUUCUUGAGCCUUACUUCUUCAACGGAAUAUUUUGGUAGCAGAAGCAGAAAUAACAUGAAAAUAACAGCAAUAGGUUUCUAUACCACCAUAAAGAACACACACAAAAUGAAGAGCAGUUCAACAUAUCUCAGCAUAUAUUUUAUUCAAAUAUAACAAUGUGAAUGUUUGAAAUGAAACAAGGAGGUCAGGUAAGCCUUUCAUCAGUAAGCAAGAAUGUUGAAGCUUCUAGAGACAGCUUGAAAGCUUAUUUCCAAAUACCGUAUAUGCAGGAUUUCUUUUUUUUCACCUCCCUCCACUUUUCUUUUGAUUUCCACUUUGGCGGCCAAGUCUCCAAGGUUGGUUUUUGUUUUUGGUUUUUUUAGACAUAUUGCAGGGAGGGACAAGGUUAUUUGCUUCCCUCAUUUCUCUCUCUUAACAUCUAUUCAUGGAUGUUCAUUAAGGAAUUCUGGAAGCAGUUGCUGUUUACUAUGCCUGGAGCAGGCACAAAUAUCUGCAGUUGGAUCAAUGAAAAUAGAAUCCCAUUCUUUCUCAGUUAAAGAUUUAUUUGCAUUUCUUACUCUAGACAAGACAUGCUACUACAACCUGAUACUCUGUUUUUCUAGCCCUUCUUUACCAACCUAUCAAUAUUGAUUCUGCUAAAAAAACAACAACUUCUAACUAGACAGAGAAGAAAGAGGAAAAGUGAGACUGUGGGUAUAAAGAUUUUAUAAAAACCUUUUUUUACUUACCUUGUGCCAGAGAUACUAGUAUAUCCUUCUAGAAUCAAUAUCCUCUUAUUUGAUAACAUGAUAACAUUAUCCAUUUCGUUAUGCAAGUCAAACAACAAGUUGUAAAGUACAGGGUGUUUGAAAAAGAACCCCCUAGUUUCCAUUUAAAGUAAAUGGAAACUAGGGAGUUCUUUUUCAAACACCCUGUAGAUUUCCAGAUCUUAAAAAAUCCUCUUCUUCAGUUAUCCUGCAGCACCCUCAACCUUAUCCUGAGUUUUUCCCCCUUUAUAGUUUAGAAAAGGUAAACCUGGUAAACCAUGCAAUGUAAGAGUAGAUAAACAAAAAAAAAAGUAUACAGAUGGCAAAUUAGUAAACUGUAUAGAAUGUUAUCAAGCUCAAAAGGGAAAAAAUAUAGAUUCCUGCUUAUCGAAGGGGCGGGGAGAGAGACAAAAAAAUAAAUACUUAACAAAACAGAAAUGUCAAAAAAGUAAAGAAAAUGUGACUGUGCCUAUACCUAUAAGUAUUUGUGUAAAAGACAAAAAUAAACGGUAAAUACUGUUAAAUGGACUGGUCCAUGAGGUCACGAAGAGUCGAAAACGACUGAACAAGUGAGACGAUGACGACUGUUAAAUUAUACGUCUCUCCGCCAGAGGUCACUCUUCUGCAAGGCUUCCACUCAAAAUUAUUAUUUUUCCCCAAAUACUCUCUUGUUCCCAAUUUCUUCCAACUGUCUAAGCAGGAAGCAAACCUGACCAUUGUCUUGAGGAGCCUUGAUCAGAUCGAAGGGAUCUAGUUCAGUGACAGGGAGGAGCCUUGAUAUUCAUAUUAUUUGAAUAAUAUCAGUAUAAUAGCCUUAUAGUUGUCAUCUAAAUAUAUGUGCCUUUGGAAUCAUUCCAAAAAAGGCUUGGUUUUCCCUUGCAAGAACAGUGUAAUAUUAAUCCACUUUCUAAGAUGCCCCGUCCAAGAAUUGGAUUUCCCUCGCGAGAGUGGUGUAAUUUUAAUCCAUUUUCUAAGAUGCCCCAUCUAAGGAUUGCCUUUCCCUUGCAAAAGACUGCACCAUGUGUCAAAAUGAGAGGAGAGUACAAUGGUUCCCUUUCCACGUGCUUUCCAGCUGGUACAAUGGAUCUAGAAUGCAGUUAGAGCUCUGAAGACGAUUGCUCCUCAGUGUUGAGAGUUUACCCCUUUUCCCACAAUUUCUCUCCAGUUCAACAAUACGGUGACAAAAAUGAAGACUGGAAGUAUUAUGGAUUUUUUUUCGUGUCAGGAGCUACUUGAGAAACUGCAAGUUGUUUCUGGUGUGAGAGAAUUGGCCGUCUGCAAGGAUGUUGCCCAGGGGACGCCCGGAUGUUUUUGAUGUUUUAUCAUCCUUGUGGGAAGCUUCUCUCAUGUCCCUGCAUUAUUUAUUUAUUUAUUUACAGUAUUUAUAUUCCGCCCUUCUCACCCCGAAGGGGACUCAGGGCGGAUCACAUUAUACACACACAGGGCAAACAUUCAAUGCCCAUAAACACAUCAAACAGAGACCGAGACAGACAGAUGCAGAGGCAGUUUAACCUGACGGCACUUCCUCAUUCCAGGUCGUAAAUUAGUUAAACUUACCUCCCCACUUUUUUUUAUAAGUGGUACCUUAUUUCCUACUUAAUAGAUGCAACUAUCUUUCGGGUUGCCAGGUCAACCACAAGCAGGGGCUAUUUUUUAUUUUUUAUUGACGGGUGCUCACCCCGCCACGGGCUGGCCUCGAACUCAUGACCUCAUGGUCAGAGUGAUUUAUUGCAGCUGCUCAACAGCCUGCGCCACAACCCUGCAUGGAGCUGGAGCUGAUAGAGGGAGCUCAUCCACGCUCUCCCCGGGUGGGAUUCGAGCCUGUCAGCUUUCAGAUCAGCAACCCAACCUUCAAGUCACAAGGCUUUAAUCCACUACGCCAUCGGGGGCUCAAGUAUUAUGGAUGUGUUGUGGGAUGGCAUCUGUGCCUCUCCAUCAUUGAACUAGAGCAAAAAUGUCCCACAGUGGAAAAAACUGUCCGAUUCAUGAGAUCGUCACAGACAGAAGACUGGAUAAGCCUCCAACUCCAGGCUUUUCCAUCUCUUCUGAGGCUUGAAAAAAAGAAACAGCAGAACAGCAACGACCAAUGAGGGAAGAUGCAGGGAUUUCCAACCUUGCCAGCAUCCAUUGAUCACCCCAUGAUCAUCAUAUAUGUUGGAUCUCCACAGCACUUAAUAUCUUCCUCCUCCUACCUUGGUUCUAACCUCUGCAAUUGGAGGGUGAGAUCCAGGAUACACCAUUGGUUUUAGGGUGAUUCCAACAGCAUUUUACUAAACCUAAAUCAGCCUCUUUAAUUCUAGAGUGCCACUCUUCUUAUUUCCACGGCUUUUCAUCACUGUUUUCACCACUUCUUUGCAACCGAGAUUAUUGCCCAGGUUGGAUAUGUUGUGAAGUGAAGCUUCUUGAAAUAACUACUUCAUGUGGCUGUGUUACACAAUACAACAGCUAAUGGGAAAAAAUAAUAAUUGCUUUUUUCCCAAUAUUGUAAGAGUAAAUAAUACCGAAUAGAACCAGCAAGUGGUGUUGCAGUACUGCAGUGUUUCCUCAAGGACGAAGUAAUCCAAUGAGUAGGUAAGCAGGACAUGCCACACAGCAAUAAUGGAUCUUUGUACCCUUUUUCUUUGUUGUCGUUGCAACUGUGGCUCUGGAAAGGUGAAACUUCUGUUUUUGCUUUUAAUCUCUGCAUCUGACACAGUGCAGCUGCAGACAGCAGGGGGAAGAGUUUGCCAAAUUACCAGCCUCUGGGAAACAUACACACAUGCAAUUUGCACGCAGAUACACACACAAAAAUGUCAUUACCAAUGACAAAUCAAAGCUGAAAGUUUGCUUUGCCUGUUGUCAUUCAUUGCCAUUCAUAUUUAGAAAGUAGACUGCUGUGAUAAUUGAUUUGAUGGUCCAACUUGAGUGGAAGCACUUCUGGGCAUAGCAGGCCUCACAGAUGCCAAAAAAGAAGAAAGGUGGGAAUGAAAUAAUGCACUACUUUCUCCUUAGAGGCAUGUGGCCCAGUUUUGAGAAAAGAAAAACAUCCUUUGGAAGAAGGGGGAGAAGAAAACUUUAAGAACUCAGCAAUAAAAUACAAAAAUGACCCUCAGCCUCAUAAAAAUAGACAUUCAAACACAGAUAAUGGGAGGAGAUAUUUUACUGGCAGAUGAAUAAUGGAAGAAUGUUGGGAAAAUAAUAUGAAUUUUAGUGGAAUCCAUCUAUGGGGUAUCUCUCCCUCCCUCUUCCCUUGGUGUUGUUUUGGUGAGGACAGAAUUGAUACCCCUUUUAUAUUGAUAUAUGUUCAGUACAGAAUUAAUAGCCAAAAUGUUCACCUCCCUCCUCCCCAAAUAAAACAAUAAUUGAGAUUGAAAGCAGUGUAGGAAUACAGUAGAGUCUCACUUAUCCAAGUUUCUGGAUUAUCCAAGCCAUUUUUGUAGUCAGUGUUUUCAAUAUAUCGUGAUAUUUUGGUGCUAAAUUCGUAAAUACAGUAAUUACAACAUAACAUUACUGUGUAUUGAACUGCUUUUUCUGUAAAAAUUUGUAGUUAAACAUGAUGUUUUGGUGCUUAAUUUGUAAAAUCAUAACCUAAUUUGAUGUUUAAUAGGCUUUUCCUUAAUCCCUCCUUAUUAUCCAAGAUAUUCGCUUAUCCAAGCUUCUGCCGGCCCAUUUAUCUUGGAUAAGUGAGACUACUGUAUAUGGCCACUCCUAAGGUUAUUUACUUGAAACAUGAUUUGAUUAUGGAACUUGUCCUUAUUCUGAAGAGUGCAGAGAGGUGUUAUUACCUUUAGCUCCCCCAACCAGCCAACUGAUAUGAAUAACUUAGAAAGCUACAGUGACAAAUGAGAGAGAAACAGAUAAAACAGGUACUCAAUUCAGUGCAUGACCCAACAACAAUCUCGGCCAUUUGCCCUGUCAUCAAUUCAGGGAGUGAAGUAAAAGCAGAUGAAAGAUGUGAGCGGAAACAUCACAUGUUUUAAUAAUAGAUUCAUAGGGUUAGAAGGGACCACAAGGGUCAUUUGGUCCAACCCCCUACCAUGAAGGAAUACAGAAACGGUUUGCCUUCAGAAAGGAGUCUAGAUUGUCUAGAUUGAAGAGAGUAAUAGUACCAUUCUAUUUCUCACAUAUAAUACUGUGUCAAAUUCUGGACAGUACAAUUCAAGCAGGAUAUUGACAAGCUAGAGAAGAGAGAUAAAAAUGGUAAAAGGUAUGGAAGUUGUGUCCUAUUAGAAGUGGCUUGAGGAUAUGUCUAACCUGAAGAAAAGAUUAAAAGGCGGCAUGAUAGCCAGGAAGACAUCUUUCCACCAUGUCUCUUCUAUCAAUUUUAACUAUAUAAUAAUAUAUAAUACUCAUAUUAUACUAUACUAAUAUUAUAAUAUAUUGUAUAUACAUAUAAUAUUGAUAAUAUUAUGAUGUAAUGCAGUGUAAUAAUAAUAAUAAUAAUAAUACACUAUUAUAACAAUACUAGCUGUGCCCGGCCACGCGUUGCUGUGGCGUUGUCUGGUGGUGUCUGUAUUUUAUAGGCAGUGUGGAAGAGGCCUAAGUGAGGCCUAACUUUGCCUGUCCCCUGGGCUGAGUGGGUUGCUAGGAGACCAAGUGGGCGGAGCUUAGCCUUCUAAAUGGCAGCAAUUGGAUAAAAACAAUUAUUCCUCUCCCUCUAAUUAGGACUUUAUUUUUCUUUUCUUUUUGUUGUAUCAACCUAGAGACAUGGAUAAGGGGUUGUGCUGUCAAUUUUUGAGGUUGUGAGGUGUUUAGUUUUGUUGUUUUGUCGGUCGCCAGGAUUCCAUCACUCUUUUAUAUAUAUAGAUUAUAAUUAUAUUUAUAUCACAUGUAAUAUUACUAAUAAUUUUGCAAUAUACAGUAGAGUCUCACUUAUCCAACAUAAACGGGCUGGCAGAAUGUUGGAUAAGCGAAUAAGUUGGAUAAUAAGGAGGGAUUAAGGAAAAGCCUAUUAAACGUCAAAUUAGGUUAUGAGUUUACAAAUUAAGCACCAAAACAUCAUGUUAUACAACAAAUUUGACAGAAAAAGUAGUUCAAUACGCAGUAUUAAUAUGUAGUAUUUACUGUAUUUACGAAUUUAGCACAAAAAUAUCACGAUGUAUUGAAAACAUUGACUACAAAAAUGCGUUGGAUAAUUCGGAACUUUGGAUAAGUGAGUGUUGGAUAAAUGAGACUCUACUGUAGUUGUAUAGUACAAUAUAAUAAUAUAUAAUGCUUAUAUGGUGCUUAUCUUGUGCUAUACUAAUAAUAUAAUAUGUAUAUAUAACUUGUAAGCCGCCCUGAGUCCCCUUCGGGGUGAGAAGGGUGAGAUAUAAAUGUCGCUAAUAAAUAAUAAUAUUUGAAAGGGAAUCACAUUGAAUAAAGAUGGAGUGUGUUUAUGCCUUCAAGUUGCUUGUCAACUUAUGGUGACCCCCAUGAAUUUUAUAGAGUUUUCUUAGGCAAGAAAUGUUUAGAGGUGCUUUUGCCCAUUAUUUCCUGUGAAAUAUAGCCUAUAGUACCCGCUAUUCAUUGGCAGUCUGCCAUCAAGUACCAAUUAGGGAGGAACCUGCUUAGCUUCCAAGAAUAUAGUGUUUGGAGGGUAUUUAGACCUUCAGUUUGAACAUAAAUGUCCAGAAAUGAAAGCUAAUCUUACAUGCACCAGUCUGAUCCUCCAAAUUCUUUAAAUGAUACUAGCUCAAAUUCCCCUGCUGCAAUUUUUGUAAGUGAAGCUUUUUUUAAUGUUGGCGUUAACUCACCAUUGUGUGGAAGUCUUUUAUGAAAGUACGUUAUCUAUAAUAAGCCUAGUGAGCAGCCUGUAUGAUAUUGGUAGAUAGAAACCUUUUAAACAUUAUCAGCUUGACGCGUGUUAAAUCUUUGGCAGUUGAAAAUAGAAAAUGAAUAGCAGUUUCAACCAGAUGUAGUAUUUUAACUCUGUUGUAAACAAAAUUUCAUUCUCCUAGUGCCGAGGCGCUCUCAUUUCAGGAACGUCCGCACUGAAAGGCAUGAGUGAGCCUAAUAAUUUCACCCCUGAGUGUUCAUAUACAAGGAGCUUCAAAGAGUAUUCAGUGGGGAAUGUGCAAGGUAUUAAAAUAUAAACUACAUAGAAUACCGGUCAAAAGAUCUUCAGACCAUAUAUAUCGAAACUCAUUUGUUUCACUUUCCAAAAAAUCGUAGUAGUCUAAUAAUAUCUGACUUUAAUGUUUUAUUUAUUUGUUUUUAUAUUGUUGUGUUUUUUAUAUUGUCUGUAUUCACCUGGGCUUGGCCCUAUGUAAGCUGCCCCGAGUCCGUUCGGGGAGAUGGAGACGGGGUAUAAAUAAUAAUAAUAAUAAUUAUUAUUAUUAUUAUUAUUAUUAUUAUUAUUAUUAUUUUAUUGUAUGACACAGCAAACAAGAUAGACAUGCUGGAUUUCAUAUCACAAAAUCAAAAGUCGAACACUUCCCAAGUGUCUAGGACUGUGUGAUGUAUUUUUGGAUGGUGCGUGCAGAUCCCAGUAGGGUGACCUUUUGCAGUUGGCAGAUCAUAAUUUUGUCAAUGUCUAUUGUUUCCAAAUGCCAGCUGAGAUCUUUUGGCAUGGCACUCAGUGUGCCGAUCACCACCGGGACCACCUCUACUGGUUUCUGCCAGAAUCUUUGAAGUUCAAUCUUGAGGUCCUGAUAGCGGCUGAGUUUUUCCUGUUGUUUUUCAUCAAUGCGACUGUCACCUGGGAUGGCGACAUCAAUGAUCCAAACCUUUUUCUUUUCCACAACUGUGAUGUCUGGUGUGUUGUGUUCCAGAACUUUCUCAGUCUGGAUUUGGAAGUCCCACAGUAUCUUUGCGUGCUCAUUUUCCAAUACUUUUGCAGGUUUGUGAUCCCACCAGUUCUUUACUGCUGGGAGGUGGUACUUGUGGCAUAAGUUCCAAUGAAUCAUUUGGGCCACAUAGUUGUGCCUCUGUUUGUAGUCUGUCUGUGCAAUUUUCUUACAAUAGCUGAGGAUAUUAUCAAUGGUUUCAUCAGCUUCCUUGCACAGUCUGCAUUUUGGGUCAUCAGCUGAUUUUUCGAUCUUGGCCUGAAUUGCCUUUGUCCUGAUGGCUUGCUCCUGGGCUGCAAGGAUCAGGCCUUCUGUCUCCUUCUUCAGGGUCCCAUUCGUGAGCCAGAGCCAGGUCUUCUCCCUAUCAGCUUUUCCUUCAAUUUUGUCAAGGAACUUUCCAUACAAUGUAUUAUUAUUAUUAUUAUUAUUAUUAUUAUUAUUAUUAUUAUUAUUAUUACUAUUAUUAUCAUCAUCCCUGUGCACUGUCAGAUGGACACUACAUUCUGGGAUAGUUCCUGGCCAUCACUGAGUAUAUUUGCUAGCAUUGCCUUCCUCCUUGGUCAUGCUUUGCUGAUAUCUCCAGAGUUUCAUGUCUGUCUCCCACGAUGAUGGAAGGGCAACACAUUCCAGAUAUUUCUCCUUUUCUCUGAGCUACCAUGCAUUGAGAAAAGAGGAUGGUGGAACUGGUCUGUUUGAAUAGUGAACUGGUGCUACCCACCCUCACCCCAAAGUGCAAUGUUGCUCAGCAAGGUCCGGAAGAUUCCAUGUCUGCGUAAUUCAUGUUAAACCAAGUCCUUGGGCAUCAACUAGACAUCUAGGCUCAACUUCUGAUCCAAUGCAACAUAUAGGGCCUGUGUGGACAUGCCUUGAGACAUCAACCUAAAUGAACCAUUUAUAUUCCUGUUAAUGUCCAAGGUGCAAUUGUGAUCUUAUCUAUAUGUGGUGAACAGAAACAUUUCAGACUCUGAAAUCCAGUUGUAUGUUCACUGGUUGUAGACUGACCCAUUCAUGUCUAUGCGAGCAUUUUUACAUGACCAUCAUAUUUUUGUUUUUACAGUUGUUUUGUUUGUUUAACAAACCUUCUGAACCCUCUUCUGAAUUAAAAUACGAAAUUCACUUCUCCAAAGUGGAAAACUUGAAUUUGAAAAUAUAUAAUGGGGUUAGAGGGUGAAGUGAAGAGUUUUCAAAACAUAAUACAAUGUUUUGCAAAAACAUUUUGUAGUGAAGAUUAUUUCUUACAUUUCUAUAAUCUUGAACAAAAUCAAACAACAAUAAAAACAUAAUAGUUUCAAAGUGUUUUGGGCUGUUAUACUUGCAAAAUGUCCAAUUAUAUUAUGGAAAAGCAGCAAUCAGACCCGCUUUGUGGUGCAUAUGCUCCAGUAAUGGCUGUUUGGUUUUGAGUUGCUUUGCUUUGUUGUCGUGUGGCAACAUGAGAGUGUCAGGGUUGAAAGGAAUCGUCUCCAUCUUGCCUCCAUACAACCCAUUUCGAAAUACUAUGAGACCUCCUUUAAUGUGGAUCUCUUAUUAUAAAAAGGACACUGUCACAUAUUAUCUAUCAUUUGGAAAGGAUAAUAGUUUAUGCCAUAUUUUAGUGCAAAAUAUAGAAAAAAUAUAUACAUUUUUAAGCUAUCGAGGGCCUAAGGAGUCUUUUAAGUCUUGCUUUAAGAGAGCUUAAGCAACAUUUUAAGCUGUAUAGGAAAAGAUAACUAGAGGUCAGAUAGAUGCUGAUGUGUUAUAAUCCUUCGUAGAUUAAAUGGACCACUGGGAUUUGUUUCAAGAUUACAGUGUUAUUUUAGUAUCCACACUGCGUAACUCAAGGACUAAACCGAUGUAUAAGAAAAUAGGUGAUUUUUAGGAAACUAGAGUCUGAGUUGUUUAGGGCUUUAUAUGCUAAGAGUUAAACUUUGCACAUAACUAAAUAGUGAAGGUAUUAAACUAUGUUGAGAAACUGCCCCACUGAGCACCUCACUAAAUCAUUCUGCACCACUUGCAGUUUCCACACAACAACAACACAACAACAAAACUUUAUUUAUAUACAGCUCUAUCUCCGAUAAGGACUCAGAGUGGUUUACUUGAGACCCAUAAUGCGAGGUCACAUCAGCAGUCUGCAACAUGUAGUUUUGACCAUUUCAAGCUCACUUAUGUGGUGGAGAAAUCUUUGGAAACAGGAAAUUUUCUCCUUUUGGUUCGAUCAUCAUCUAACCAGAAGUAUCAUCUUCCUUUCUUGCUGUUCUCCAAAGUGGAAAGUGAGAAUAACUGAGACUAAUUUACAACCCUUCUCUUUGCAUCUGGAUUGUAGAACUGGAAAAAAAUCCAACUCUACUAUAAUUAACAAAAAAAAUUGCAUUGCAUCAAUCAAUAUAAAAAAAAUCCAAACAUAUUUGUCACAAGUGACUAAACUACUAGAAUGUAUAUGUAUUAAAUUUAUGAUUGUCAAAAUGAUUAUUAUUAGUGUAAACAUUUGCCUAUGACGUAAACAAUAGGAGUAUAGUGUCAAGAUCAAGGGAAGGAUGUCGUAUUGUGGAGCGGCAAGCUGGUUUUCUGCUGCUCUAAAAACUAGGAUGCGGAGAAAUGGAUUCAAAUGGCAGGAAAGGAGAUUCUCCAUGAUCUUUAAGAAGAACACUUUGGCAGUAAGACUUAGCAGUUCAAUAGUGCUUCAGAGGCUGGUGAAGUCUCCUUGGCUGGAGGUUUUUAAGCUAUGGAUGGAUGGCCAUCCAUCAGGAAUGCUUUUAUUGCAUGGCAGGGAGCUAAACUGGAUGGCUACUGUGGUCUCUUCCAGUUCUAUGAACCUAUGGAAGCAUAAAGCCCAAGACACAAAAAAUACAUUUUUGACUUAAAUGCAUAAGAUCCUUUGUAUUGUGUCUUGCUUCUUUAAUAUCUAACACGUUUAGAUGGAAAUUAUUGUAUUGUUUUGCUUCCGCAGCAUUUGCAACAGCAGCUGUUCGGUUGUAAUUAACCAUCUGAAGUAAUGAAUUCUAAAUUGCAUUUGCAAUUACUUGUAACUAAAAUUAUCUGAACUAAAAAGAAAAUUAUUUUAGUCCUAGGGAUAGCUUUGCUGCUUUAUCACUUUGGUUAUACUAAAGCUUUAGAUUAAAGUAACUUGGUUUUUAAAUUAAAUGUCAAAUAUAAUUUGCCAGUGGAAACAUGAAGUGUAGUCAGCUGUAUUCUGAAGCAGGAAAUGCUAGCUCAGCAUCCUUUCCUAUUGAUAUAUACAUAAAAUCAGCUUUUUUGCCCUAUUAGAUCAUAUCUGGCAAAAUAUAAAUGUGACUUUACAUAUAUAUGCAUGCAUAUGCCACGUAUAAAUGUAGAAAAUAAACUAUACCCAAGGGUAAGAUUUUCUUACAGCUGUCAGAGCCACGGAUUCCAUAAUUUUAAUGUUUAUGGAAUAUGAAUGAGUUUUCACAUUUUUGUGAUUUUUCAUGAUAUUUGACAUUUUGAAAUAUCUAUAUGAAUAAAUAUCACUUACUGGGCUGCAGCCCAACAAAGUUUAUGUGGGUUUUUGACAGAGAACGCAAUUACUCAAGGAAGGCUGGACAAUUGGGGUUUUCAAGAUGCUUUAGACUCUUGUUUAGUUCAUCGGAGUAAGGUUUAAUUCCAUUAAAAAAAAAAAAACCACAUUAGGAAGACCUUCCUGAAUGCAAAAGUUGUUCAGCGGUGGAACUCUCUUGCCUCGGAGUAUGGUGGAGAUCCUUCUUUGGAGGCUUUUAAGCAAAGGCUGGAUGGAGUACUUUAUGCUUUUCCUGCGUGGAAGGGGGUUAGAUUAGAUGACCCAUGUGGUCUCUUCCAACUCUAUGAGUCUAUAAUCAUCUGUGACUUAAAUAAAAUUGAAUUAGACAGUAACCACAACUGAAGCUCAAAAUUCCGAAGGAUAAAAAGGAAAUGUUGUGCCAACUUCUCAGAAUGCAAAACUUGCUUACAGGCGGUCAAAAGAUUCUGACAUUAAUUGACAGAGGCAGCAAGCCUAGCACUGCCUAGUCCAAAAGUCCCUCACAUUAGUGACAGCGUGCUUUGUAUGAGAUUCUGGUGUCAGAAAGCUGGACACUUUGACAUCAAGGGAUUUGAAAGUGCCAUUCACUUUUCUCCAUCUUUCUUGCUUAGGCACUUGGAAGUACAUUUACCAGUUUGAAGGUGCUUUGAUACAGAAAGCCGCAGGAUGUAAAGUUCUCUUAGAGGGCAUUGUGCCCUAGAAUCUAUCUGUCUUGUGGUCAAGACACUUGAAGAGAAUGAAGAGAACUGAGCAGUCUCUGCUUGGUUUUAGUUACCUACAAACUGAAUUGUGACGAUAACGGAAACUAUCAUAGAAACAUAUUACAAAUUGCAAGCAUUACUGAUAAAGAAUGGGAGUGGGAGAUACACAUACAUACCUUCUCUGCCUUUACUCUACCUUUGGCACCGAGACUUAAGGCAUCUUUAAGGAUAAGGCAAAUUUAGGAAAUAUUCCACAUCAUUAAGACACAGAAAAUGUGAUAUUAAUAGAAAUAAAGCCAUUUUAAAAUGCACCCACUAAAAACCCCCCACCAUAAAUACAGUAUUAUAUUUAUACAAUAUAAAAUACAAUAAUAUAGUACAGUAGAGUCUCACUUACGGGCUGGCAGAAUGUUGGAUAAGCGAAUAUGUUGGAUAGUAAGGAGGGAUUAAGGAAAAGCCUAUUAAACAUCAAAAUAGGUUAUGAUUUUACAAAUUAAGCACCAAAGUAUCAUGUUAUACAACAAAUUUGACAGGAAAAGUAGUUCAAUAUGCAGUAAUGUUAUGUUGUAAUUAUACUAUUUACGAAUUUAGCACCAAAAUAUCAUGAUAUAUUGAAAACAUUGACUACAAAAAUGCGUUGGAUAAUUCAGAAUGUUGGAUAAGUGAAUGUUGGAUAAGUGAGACUCUACUGUAUUUUAUUAAAAUCUCUUAUCCAUCCAUAGUCAAAUGUUCCCCCAAUUUGGAAACUAUAAGAACUAUUAUAAAACAGUGCCACCAACUCCUGUUCUAACAAGACAACCCAGAAGAUACCAUGACCCCCUGGGGAGAUAAGGCAGCCUAUAAAUAAAGAUUGUUGUUGUUGUUUUUGUUGUUGUUGUUGUUGUUGUUGUUACUAUUAUUAUGGCCAAAUGACAUCAAAAGCCACUGAAGCUUCAAGCGGAACCAGUAAAGGUACAUCUGUCUUGUUCAUUCAUCAACCAAAGCCAUCUUUGUUCCAAAAACAGUCUGAAUCAUUACAUUUUGAAACUCGUUCAUGGAUUCCACAUCCGCUUCUAUAUCUUUAGAAAAACCACUACCACGCCCCCUUUGCUAUACACACAGGCACAAUAUUUAGAGAGCAUCUGCAGCUAACCCUACAGAAAACUCAUUAAAAAAUGUAAUGAAAUGAGUUGGAUUCAAGUGUUUCUCAUAGAAAGCUGUUUCACUUCUGUGGAAUAGGUAUAGAGAUUUUGUUUAAAAAAAUACAUAUAAUUCAUCCAGAAAUUUACAGGGAGUCAUUUGGAACUGACCUAUUUUUUGCAUGUUUUGGCAAAAGAAUUUGGACUAGUACUCAGUAGGUAUGGGAGAGAGAGAUUGCAAAUGCAUCCAUAUUUAUGUUCACUUAUUCUCGUAACAUAGAGAGGCUACAGAUCCAUGGGUUACUUCAGACACAUAAUGAUCCUGAUUUUCAGGAUUUUACAAAAAAUACCAGCCGUUGGACUAAAACUAGCUCAGACUUUUUCAUUUCUUCUAUUCAUUGCAGGAGCUGUGUGUGUAAACUAGACUGAUAAAGAUGGAAAUGUGAAAAAUACAUGAGGGAAGACUAGUAUAGGUUGUCUUUGUGCCUAUUACAAAAUAAUGCCCUACCAGUGUUUACAAUUCACUAUCCCAACAUCUCACUAAAGUUAAUGUUUAUGGAUUUGCCAUUUCCUAUAAGGUUUGCCACUCCUUCAUUGAGAUGAUGGUGGAAUAAUAAUAAUAAUAAUAAUAAUAAUAAUAAUAAUAAUAAUAAUAAUAAUAAUAAUAAUAAUAAUAAUAACUUUAUUUUUAUACCCCGCCCCAUCUCCCCGAAGGGACUCGGGGCGGCUCACAUGGGGCCAUGCCCAAUACAAUUAAAAAACCAAUCACAAAGCCAUGACACAUUUAACCCGAUAAAAACAUCAACAUCAAUAAAAACAAUCAUUAAAAAGCAUAAAUCAUGCAAUAUUAAAAUCAGGGGACUAAAUUCAUAGAUCCCGAGCAAAGUGCAGAGAAUACUAAAUGGAGACAGGUAAUUUCACAGUUAAAAUGGACAAUAAAGUGCGGUGUAAUAAUGGUAAAAACAUCAGGAAUGGGGCAAUUAUAGAAUGGGCAGACAGGUCAAUCCAACAACGAUUAAAUGUCAAAGGCCUUUUGGAAGAGCCAGGUUUUUAAGCUCUUCCGGAAUGAGAGGAGGGUAGGGGCCUUUUAACUAUGUGCAGAAAACAUUCUGAAUCAGCACCAAGCUAGCUAAAAUAUAGUCAUCAUUCCACCAAAAGAGAGGAAUCCCGUAAUAUGUGUUCAUUCAUAUCAUGGUUUGAAACAUUCAUUUUGUCUUCCAGAUCUUUAUUUGUUUGGUCUUGUAGCAUGAGGAGUAGCUCUUCUUUGUAACUCACAAUCCUUCACAAAUAAUUUAUAGCUGAAAACACAUGCAGUAUUUAUUAUUUCCCAGUAAGAACACACAGUAGGAGGAGUUCAGGUAAGUAACAGGGCGGUGGAGUGAGGCUCAGACAUGAGUUGCUUUUUAAUGUUAGAUGAUGGGCAAGCACUAAUGAUCGCUCCUUGCACCAGCCGCUCACACAAGAAAGAUGCCAUCUUCCGUUUUCUCAUAGCAUAUUCAGUUCCAUUUAAAUAUUGCAAGCAGCAGAACUGCAAAUGUUAGCCUAAUCAUGAAUAAAAAAUGGAGAUAUUUUAUUCUAAAAAUAAUAAUUAUGGAUAGGGUAGCUGUAUUGUAUUAUUUUAAAUAUUUCAUUUUAUAUGUAGACUCCAGGCUGCUGCAGAAUUGCCAGUGUUUUAUAUAUUUUUUUAUUUGUUCUAAGGCAUUAAAAAUACAAGACGGAGGCUAUUGCAAGGAUAUUGGAGGAAGGUUAUUUCUUUUUGACAGGGACUGUCAGUAAUUAUAGGCUGUGGGAAAAAGUGCUGCAGCCAGUUUCACUGAAAUGGUGGUAGAAAAAGCCAGAAGAGUGCAACCCAACUCGCAUUGUACAAAUGACGGUGCCUCUCUUUAGUAGAAAAGGACCAUCUUUUCCAACCAUUAAAACCUUUCUGUACACAGUACACAAAGAAUAAAAAUAUUUGUGCAUGGAUGACUACCUUCUGAUAUUUAAACUGCCGGCUGCUAAAAGUGAUUAGAUGUCCUGCUGAGGCAAACACAUUUUCCACCCAUCUUUAAUAAAAUAUUGUAAGGAAUCGCUGGAAGACCUUGCUUGUGCUUUCACCUACCCGCUUUUUUUAAAAAAACUAUUAUUGCAGCCUUGUGAAAGAAUCAGUAUUGACUCCUGACAGGCACUUUUGGAUAGGAGGAGCCUUCUCUUGUAGCUUUCUGUGUGUUUUGUCAAAUCCCAUACUUUCAGCUGAAGUGUAAAGUGAAAGCCGAUGUCAGGGAAUGCCUUCAAGCAUGAGCUGGUGCUGGUCUCCUGCGAUUUACUUUUAUUUUAAAAAUGAGGGAGAGAGAGGGAGAGGGAGAGAAAUCAGAUUGAAUUGUAAAAUGAUGGCAAUCUAACUGGACAUAAACACAUUUCUUGCCAGCUCAGCAACUGUUCUGUAUCAUUAGUGGAAGAAGGUACAGUAGAAAGAAAUUUAUUUAUUUAAUGGAAAAUAUGUCCAGAUGAGAAGAUGGUGACUUAGUGGUAGCAUUUUUAUUUGAGAUGUAUAAAACCAUAAUUGUGUUUCAUCUCA